GGCAGAGUGGUCUAGCAGAGGGCACUAGACUAGAAUUUAAGAGACUUGGCUUCUAACCCCAGCCCUGCCA
rnacentral:tRNA from 1 species